rnacentral:lncRNA from 1 species
UUUAACCUUCUAAAAUCACUUCUAAUCCUUUUGUCCUAAAGAAGACCACCUUGUCUUGGCUUAGGACACACUAGAAGCAAUGCUAGAAAGAAAGAAGAGAGGAGUGGGGUGGAGUUAGAAUGAUGAAACCCAUGGAGUGCUAGCCUAUUUAUAAUAGGUGUAGGGAUGCAUCUUCAAGGGAUGCAUCCCAUCCACACAUCCUUUCAUGAAAGGACAUCAUCUGAGGGCCAUAUCAAAUAAGAGGAGGUGCAGAUCAAGUGAAGAGGUAUAUCAAAUGAUAUGUCCUUUCAUGUGGUGCCAUAUUUUGACCAAGUCAACAUCACAUGCUAAUCACAUGUCCAUCAUGCCUCACCUCUUGAUCUUUCAUGAUGAUGAUCCAAGGGCUCCAAUGCAAGGCGCCAUUUACUUGACCCAUUAUGUCUUCAUCCAAUGGUGGGAUUAAGAUCCAAUGGUCAAUUAUGAUAGCCAUCCUCUAACCCAAUCCAAUUGGGUUAAACCAACUCUCCAUUAUGUCUUCAUCCAACGGUAGAUCAAGAUCUAAUGGUCUUAAAUUGAAUGAUUUAUUAAAUCUAAUCCAAUUAGACUCAAACCAAGCCAAUUAGGUGCCAACUCUUGGCUAACCCAUAUUAGAAUAUGAUCUAAUCAAAUU